UAGAGCGGAGUGCGAGUCUGCAGCAGCCAUGUUAGGUGGCUGUUGACACCGGUCUCGGCGGUGGCACCUGCUCCCAGCUCGCGUCCGAGAGCUCUGGUAGCUGGUGAAGCUCAGGGGCUCCUGCCUUGGUAAUGGCCGCUGGUAAGCUGCAUAUGCAGCCAAGAACACUGAUGAGUUUCUGCUCUGUUGAGAGAAGAUAUAGAUUGAAUGUCAAGUUGUUAUCUCUGUACUCGAGUCCAGUGGAUUUCAAGUUCUUUUUGUUGUGAUUAAACAGGAUCAAUGAGCUGAAAAGGGCAAGACUUUGGUCCAUAGUGAAGUUAUUGUAGUGGAAAUAGGAAUCUGCUGCUUAAUCUCUUUCAGUCAUGCAGCUUUAUUACUAAAGUGGGGCUGACAGCUAGUGCAAAGUCCUGAACUUCACUAAGGAAAGGCAGCAUUUUUAACUCUGAAGAGAAAGACUUGAGGUUUGACUACAGCAGAUUAACAGGAGCAGAUCUGGCAAAUGUGAGUCAGCAGUCUCCACCCAGUUCCUGAAAGGGAGAGGAGUUGGGUUCUUCCCAUGCAUACUGUAUGUUGGAUGAACAGGUUUCACCAGAUCUUUUAAGAUGUACAGUAUGGCUUGUAUGCAAGAUAUUGUUUGGGUAUAAUGUGACAAAUGGGAGCUUUUCUGGAUCCUAUAAGCUUUGGAAACAAAGCUGGUCCCUACCAUAACUGAUAUAAAUUGUGGAAAGUGUCCAGUAGUAGAAAUGAUUGUUGGGCCCUCUGGUUAGUGAGGAUAACAGUAAUGCAACAAAUCUAGCUUUAGAAAUAAGGACCUUCUGCCUCUCCAUUAGAGCUGCAUGGUCUGUGUAUGAUUUUCCUUAGUCUAUAAAAGAAGGAUGGAGGAAUUUUAAACAGCAUACUUCAGCUCUUUAACAUCUGUUUUGCAAACUAUUGAAUGGCAAUGGGUGAGGGAGCUUAUUUACUUUUUGCUGAGA